rnacentral:rRNA from 1 species
UACGAAGGGGGCUAGCGUUGUUCGGAAUUACUGGGCGUAAAGCGCACGUAGGCGGAUCGGUCAGUUAGGGGUGAAAUCCCAGAGCUCAACUCUGGAACUGCCUUUAAUACUGCCGAUCUGGAGUCCGGAAGAGGUGAGUGGAAUUCCGAGUGUAGAGGUGAAAUUCGUAGAUAUCGGGAGGAACACCAGUGGCGAAGGCGGCUCUCUGGGCAGAUACUGACGCUGAGACGCGAAAGCAUGGGGAGCAAACAGG